rnacentral:tRNA from 1 species
GGCCGCGUAGCUCAACGGGAUAGAGUGCCGCCUUCUAAGCGGCAGGUGCCGGUUCGAGUCCGGCCGCGGCUACCA